GUGUGGACAGCACAUCCAAAACCCCGGGGAACAAGGGCUGUGCUGUGCUGCUGGGGUCUAGAGUGGCUUCUUCUCACCAGAAAACCUCCCGAGAGCUGAGCACCAAAGGAGAAAGGGCUUGAGGAUAAACUGCAGAGUCACAGGAUAGUUAACGUUGGAAAGGACCUCUGGAGAUCAUUUAGUCCAACCCUCUGGCUAAGGAUCAUCUAGAACAGGUGAUACAGGAACAUGUCCAGAUGGGUUUUGAAUGACUCCAGAGACAGAGACUCCACAACCUCCCUGGGCAGACUCAUGCUCAGCAACUGUGCCAGUUACACUCCAAGCCGGUUUGCAGCAGUGGUAUCUGCCUCAUAUUUUUUCAUUAAGAAUGUCAAUGAAUAACUUUUAUUUCCAUGAAAACAAUAUUUUGAAACCUCAAAGUCUCUGAAGGGACUUGGGUCUCCAGCAAGUCACAGUCUGGAAGAUGAGCCUGUCCUGAUGUGGUUCAGCAGAGCCACUGCAUUGCUGCCAGAACCAGGGAAGCUUUUGGGGCUGUAGCGCUCACUCGGGCCAGAUCCUGCUUUCCCUUGGGGCUGAGGCUCAGCCCGGCAGCUGGCAACAAUUCCCUCACUACUCCUCUCCAUGGAUAUAACAAAACCACACCAUGCAAGGGGUCACCACUCAGAUGGCAGUAAACACAGCUGAGGUGCAGAAGAUUGAGCCCUUCUCAGGGAUCUGCCUCUGCUCUCAGGCCUUGGAAGGACCCAUCCAAGAAGGGAGUGUAGCUCUGAAGGGAGUCUUCCAAAGGAGAAAAGAGCUCAGACGGAUAUGUACUGCCACAUUCUCCAUCAGGCACGGUGGCUGGACAUGGCACAAUCAAUGUCAAAAUGCCACUGGUAAGGACAAAGCCCAGCCUUAAGGCCAAGAGCAUGGUCGCAGGUGGGAAGGCACCCCAUGUGUCAUGUAUCCCUAAGGGAGGGAUUGUGAAGAUCUCACCACACUGACUGCUGGAUCUGGAGCACAGGGAAACACCUUAAAACGUGACCAGUCAAUUCUUCCAUGUAAGCAGGAUGGUGUGCUCAGCUGCCUGCCUCCUUUGACCCUCAACAGACUCUAAGUACAAAACCAAAGACCGCCUGGAAACAACCCUGGACCCACUUGGGGCAAUCAUCCUUAUGGGAGGCACAUGGAUGCAGCGUCACAGAGGCGGCUGGGCUGUCUUGCAAGGGCAUUAACGCUGGGCACCAGGUGAACUUUGUUCAAAGCUUGGCGGUAACUCACAGCUAACUUGUGUUAACUCGCUGUAUCUUGUGCUACAGCAGAGUAUUGGGGAAUCUGAGGAAAUGCUCAGGCUCCUGGGUGGCCUGGUAGUGAUGUAUUCCUAUGCUCUGAUUUCCUGCAGAUGAAUCCCAAGCAGGAUCAUCCUCAGAGCCCAUUUCUCUUCAAGUAAGCAUCAUCCCAUGGAACUUACUGAAGGUGCUCCUCCACUGAUUUGGAGUACUGGGGCUGCAUCAGGUGCUGUCAGUCAUACAGUUGUUGACAUGCUCGUGUUAAGGGUCCAUCUCUGGUUUUAUAACAGAAGGAUUUAGCAAAAUCUCCGUUCUGUGUUACUGGGAUUUUGAACAGGGCAGAUGGCCACAUUUCUAUCUGCGAUAAAGCAAAGUCUUUCCUCUUAAUUAGAUCCAGUUUCCUCCUGGGGGGGCAGUGGCUUUUGAGCUGAAGCUUUCUGUCAAGCUCUAAUUAAACCCUGCCUUGAUUGUUGUCCA